GACGAACGCUGGCGGCGUGCUUAACACAUGCAAGUCGAGCGGAAAGGCCACUUCGGUGGUACUCGAGCGGCGAACGGGUGAGUAACACGUGAGUAAUCUGCCCUUGGCUUUGGGAUAGCCACCGGAAACGGUGAUUAAUACCGGAUAUGACCACUUCACGCAUGUGAUGGUGGUGGAAAGUUUUUCGGCCAGGGAUGUGCUCGCGGCCUAUCAGCUUGAUGGUGAGGUAAUGGCUCACCAUGGCUUCGACGGGUAGCCGGCCUGAGAGGGUGACCGGUCACACUGGGACUGAGACACGGCCCAGACUCCUACGGGAGGCAGCAGUGGGGAAUAUUGGACAAUGGGCGGAAGCCUGAUCCAGCAACGCCGCGUGAGGGAUGACGGCCUUCGGGUUGUAAACCUCUUUCGCCUAUGACGAAGCGCAAGUGACGGUAAUAGGUAAAGAAGCACCGGCCAACUACGUGCCAGCCGCCGCAGUAAUAC
rnacentral:rRNA from 1 species